GUGGGAAAACAAAAUUUUAUGGGUGGAAAUGGGUGGGUUGAAUAAAAAUUCACCAACCCAAGGGGCGAAUAAAGUAAAAAUCGUUAAGUCGAAAAAUACUGAAAUAUUUGUAUUAUUUGUUUUAUUAUAUAAGAUCGAAUAAAUGUCAUUUACUUUAUAUAUCGAUUUGCAAAGUAUUCCAUUUGAACCUGCCAUGGAUAUCAUGGAUAAAGUGACAGAGUUCAUGCUUGUUGGCUUUUUUGUUCUCUCAAAAACUCAAAUAAGUCCAUUUAUAAUUUUAGCUUUUAAAUAGGUAAAUUGACAAAAUUAAGUUAGGGUGGAUCUACGAUUUUUGAAUGAGUGCUGGGGUUGGGUGGAGAGAAAAUGUUUUUGAAGAAGGUAAUUGGGUGACUAAAAAAAUUGGCCAAGACAAUGUUUCUCCUCAUGCAGUGCCCCCCCCCCCCGGCGAUAAAUGACCGGUCCCUUAUCAGAGUGACAAAAAUACACACAAAGACGACAUGUAAAUAAGCACGCGAAAGACCAGUGUAAAAGCGAUACUUUUUAAAUUACAGUGCAAACAUAAAACUACAAUAAAUUUUACUUUUCUCAAGAUGUCUUUUAAAUGUUUUCGUUUUAUUCCCCCCUCAAAACAACAACAAUGAAAAUGGCGGGAAAUUUUCGAACAUCGUAUACGUAUGUCACUCGCAGGGGUGAAAUUCGGAAAAUACGAACACCUAUGGAUGUAGUGACGUAUGCGUUCAACGAGUGUUUUAGUUUCCAGUAGAACACCAUUGUCCAUAUAAUAAAAUUAUAAAUAUAUCAGCUUUUAGCAGUGGCUAUGAAAUCAUGAUUAUAUUGUCGGAAUAUACUCGGGAGGCUUAAUUCAUUGGCAGGCGCUGGGCUUUCUCCCCCCCCACCCCUCCCCUCCUCCGCGCGCUUGGCGGCGCUAAUGACGAAAGUGGGUAAAAGCAAUUAUUUGUAACGGUCUUAUUAUCUUAUAUAUAUACAUGCGUUGGUCUCUAUUGAUAAGUACAUUAGAAAACUGUCAAUUUUUUGUGCUCGUUAUUUUGAUGAAUUCUCUGUUUAAGUUGUUUUGUUUGUUUUUCAAUAUCUUUUAUCCUACCUUCCAUGGCUUCCAUUUUCUGCUUUGCUUGUGUAAUCAGGUUCGCGU
rnacentral:lncRNA from 1 species